GACAGAGGUGCCGAGCGUUAGGCGGAAUCACUGGGCUUAAAGCGUGUGUAGGCGGCUCUGUAAGUACCUUGUGAAAUCCCACGGCUCAACCGUGGAACUGCUUGGUAUACUGCGGGUCUUGAGCCACCUAGGGGCGAGUGGAACAAACGGUGGAGCGGUGAAAUGCGUAGAUAUCGUUUGGAACGCCAAUGGUGAAAACAACUUGCUGGGGGUGUGCUGACGCUGAGACACGAAAGCCAGGGGAGCAAACGGG
rnacentral:rRNA from 1 species